GGACUACCAGGGUUUCUAAUCCUGUUCGCUCCCCUAGCUUUCGCGCCUCAGCGUCAGUUGCCAGCCAGGACACUGCCUUCGCCUUUGGUAUUCCUCCGGAUAUCUACGCAUUUCACCACUCCACCCGGAAUUCUAUGUCCCUCUCUGGCCCUCAAGUCAGGCCGUCUUUCGCCAAACCUUGCCGGGUUAAGCCCGGCACUGUCAUGGGAAACUGACCCAACCGCCUACGCGCCCUUUACGCCCAGUAACUCCGGACAACGCUCGCCCCCUACGUAUUACCGCGGCGGCUGGCAC
rnacentral:rRNA from 1 species